UGCUCUUUUAUUGAAUUUCAAAAGUUUAUGCAAAAGAGGUUGUCCGAUUAAAACGAAAAAAAUAUAUAAAAGAAAAUGGCUCAACUCAUGAUGAACUUGCCCGCCUCUAUUGUCAGAAUCUAAGUAUUAGGGUUUCCUAAUUGAGCUCUUUCAUUUUCUCCACAAUGUCGUCGCAGGGAGCUCUCUUCAACUCCACUUUCCUUUUCCUUAUGAUGUAGGUUAUCAACACCUUCAUUUGGACCGUAAUCAUUAUCAUUUUUGUCAGCUCAUUGAGGUACGUCUCCAUUAAAUUUUAGCUAACAUUCCCUUCGCGAUUUGUCUGCUGACCUUUUUUUUAGGAAUUCAAUAUUGUGGAUGUAGUGGUUACUUUGGUGGUGUUGAUAGAAGUGCCUUGUCUGGUAUUUGAGCUUGCAAAUCCCUAUAGGUGACAUUUUUCUCCCGUGUCCUCUUUGGAUACUUUUAUCGCUUUCUAACUUGUUUUCUAGAUGAAGAGACAAUGCAUAUACCAAGAUGAUAAUUCUCUUCUUUGUAGAGUUCAUCCUCAUCUGUCAUGCUAUAAUGCCUGGAACUGUCAAAAUGGGGUUGGCCUAUUAAGUUAGCCCAAUCCAACCCUUGAAUUAAGUAUGGUUGGGCAUAACUUUUUUGACCUAUUUAGGUUUUUGAUCCAACUUCAUUUGCAUCGCUAACCUUAUGGGCCCAACGCACAAGGCAGGCAUGCCAAUCUUUUGACUUCUUUCUUAACCUUUUGGGGUAUUUUGUUGUUGCAGUGCUAUGUUUUUGUUUCUUUUGUUUCAUGUGUUUAUUGCACCUUUUUGAUUUUCGAUCGCAAUUUUCUAAUUUUUUUAAAGGAUGGUUUAGACUUGGAUUUGUUGAAAAUAUUUGGAAUCUAUAGAGUUUCGUCAAUAGGUUUCAUUUGAGAUUUCCUCUUCUGGAAUUGAUCUUGCCCCAUUUUUUUCUUGAUUUUGCUUUGCGAUUGAUUCUCGAUCUCAAUUUUCAAAAAAUUCUUGAGGAUGCUUUAGUGUUGGAUUUUUUUUGAAAAUAUUUGGGAUCUAGAGAGUUUCGUCUAAAGGUUCCAUUUGAGAUUUCCUAUUCUGGAGUAGAUCUAGCCCCAUUUUUUUUCUUGAUUUUGCUUCACACUUCAUUUCUCUAUUCACAUUUUCCUUGCAACUCUUAACCUUUUUUGGGGUAUUUUUUUGUUGCAGUUCUAUUUGUUUGUUUCUUCUAAUUGUUAUGUUUAUUUCCCCACAUUGAUUCCUGAUCUCAUUUUCAAUCUCUUCUUUAGGUUGCUUUAGAAUGGAUUUGUUAAAAACAUUUGGGAAUGGAGAGUUUCAUUUAGAGGUUCUAUUUUAGAUUUCCUAUUCUGAAGCCAAUCUAAAAUCUUUCUAUUUUUUUUCUUGAUACUGGUUAGCAAUUAAGUCCUCUAUUCUCAUUUUUCCGUGCCAUCUAUGAUUCAUUUCCGAUGAUGUUCUCUAUGGGAUGCUUGGUAAGAGAACUUCUAUUUUCGUUUUAUUUUUUCAUUUGAAACUAUGUGACCUGCAUUGAGAAUGAUCUUUUCCUUUCUUUUUUCUUUGCAUUUAAAAGGACCAAUACAAUAGAAUUAGCAUCCUAAGGUGAAAAUAUUAUACAUUGCACGUCAACCGAUCUAACUGUGUAAAAUUGAAAUUAGGACUUGAUUUGAUCUGCAUGUUGCAUUGCUUAAUUCGUUCUUGCAGUUGCUUCUUAUUUCUCUUUGCUUGUUAUUAUGUAAUAUUUGUUGUAAUGGUGUUUGAAUUUUGAUUCUUGAGUUCUUGUAUGGUUGUUUUUUUCAUUUGUAUGAUUCAUAUGUAUUGAACCUAUUCAAUUAAUAGGUUUUUGAAUAAUCCAAUUCAAGAAACAUUACUCCAAAUUUGGUUAUGUUAUUGUAGAUGUAUCCAAGUUUUUGUUGUUGUUUUUUGUCUUUCAUGAAUGUAUACUUGUAACCAAAGAAAAAAGAUUAGUUAAGAGUUUUGUUUAUCAUGUUCUCCUCCCAUCAUGAGAUUUUUUCAUAAAGUAUUGUACUCCCUCCAUUUUUCAACCCAAUUUUUCAUCUUUGGACCUUUUGGGGUAUUUUGUUGUUGCAGUUCGAUUUGUCCGUUUCUCUUGUGUCAUGUGUUUGUUACAACCUUUUGAUUGACAAUCCUAUUCUCAAACUUUUCUUUAGUAUGUUUUAGAGUUAGAUAUGUUGGAAAUAUUUGGAAUUUUGAGAGUUUCCUCUAGAGGUUCCAUUUGAGAUUUUUUAUUGUGAAGCUAAUCUAGUUUCCUUCUAUUUUUUCUUCAUUCAGGUUAGCAAUUAAUUCCUCUACUCAGAUUUUCCCCUAGCUGCUUUGAUUCUUUGCUAAUGUUGUUCUCUCUAUAAUUUUUGGUAAGUAAGCUUUUCGCUUAUUUUAUUUAUCUUUUUGGUUCGAAAUUAUUUGAUCCAAAAUGAGAAUGAUGUUUUUCUUUUGUUUAAUUUUUCACUUAAAUAUAUUAAUGUUUGUAUAAUAGAAGUAGCAUCCUGAGGUGAAAAUACCGUAUUUUUCACAUCAACCAACUUUAGUAGUAUAAAAUUGAAAUUAAUGUUUCAUUUGAUCUGCAUGUUGCAUUACUUAUUUGUUUUUUUCUAGCUGCUUCUUAUUUCUCUUUACUUGUUAUUAUGCAUUAUUUGUUGUAUUGAUUUCUGCAUUUUUAUUCUUGAAUUCUUGUAUGGUUGUGUUUUUUAUGUAGUUGGGUGCAUCAUUUGUAUGAUUUAUAUCUAUUGAACCAACUCAAAUAAUAGGUUUUUGGCUAAGACAAUUCAGAAAGAUUACGCUAUAUUUACUAUUCUAUAUGAAUACAAAUUAGUAUUGUUUUAUGUGUUCCACGAAUGUCUACUUGCAAUAAAGUUGUGUUAAUCAUAUUUUCCUCCCAUCAGGGAAUUUGUGCAUAAUAAGAAUUGAACUCCUUCCAUUUUCGCCCGAACUUUUCAUAUCUUGACCUUUGGGGGUAUUCUUAUUGCACUUCUAUUUGUCCGUUACUUCGGAUUCAUAUUUUUAUUGCACUGAUUCUCGAUCUUAUUUUCAAGCUUUUCUUUUGGAUGCUUUACAGUUAGAUCUGCUGAAAAGAUUUAUGAUCUGGAGAGUUUUGUCUAGACGUUCCAUUUGAGAUUUCCUAUUUUGUAGCUCAUUAAGCUAUAAACACUGAGUAAGUGCUAAAAGAAGAUACUUUAUUAAUGAACUCGAACGAGUAUUAAAUAGAAAUACAGAGAGAAUAAGAAGGCCACUAAACAAACUAAUAACGUAAUAUAAAUAAAUAAUGACUGCUGCAAUAUCCAAACUAAAUUGAACUAAAAGUAGCUAACAAGGCUGAGUUGUUCAGUGCCAAUACGCCCCCUCAAGUUAGACGAUGGGUUAUUAAGCCUAACUUGAUUAUAUUUUGCUUGAAAGUAGGUUUAGGUAGUGCAUUGGUGAGAGUGUCAACGAUUUGAUCGGCACCAUGGACAUGAACAACAUUAACUUCGUUAUUUCUACAUGGUUGCGAACAAAGUCAAAAUCAAUUGCAACAUGCUUCACACGACUAUGAAAGACAGGAUUUUUGCUCAGGAAUGUGGCUCCAAGAUUGUCACAGUAAAUGGUAGGCAACUGGUGCACUGGAAAACGCAGCUCAGUUAGAAGAUUGGUCACCCACAAGGUUUCUGAAAAAGCAUUAUCCACUGCCCUAUACUUAGAUUUAGUGGAGGAUCGAGAGACAAUAUUUUUCUUCUUCGAGGACCAACUAAUCAGAUUUGUACCAAGGAACAGGAUAUACCCAGAUGUGGAAACCCUGUCAAAGAUAUCCCCCAAUUUGCAUCAGAGUAUACAUGCAGAUUGAAGUCCUCAAUGGAGGUUACACGGAGGCCCAACUGGAUGGUUCCACGCAAGUAACGGAGAACACGCUUCACAGCUUUUCAAUGAAGUUAUGAUGGUGCUUUCAUAAAUUAGGAUAACUUAUUCACUGCAUAGGCGAUGUCUGAUCUAGAAAAAGACAAGCAUUGGAGCCUGCCUAAGACUCUACGAUACCGUGUUGCAUCAGUCAGGUGAGUGGCAUCAAACAAUGUGAGUAGCUCAGAUGCACUCAUUGGUGUGUGGACACUUUUUGCAAUCGGUCAUUAGUUCAUCAUUCAAAAUCUCGUUCACAUAAUUCAUUUGGGUGAGAAUUAAUCCGUCAGAGCUGCAUAUAACAUCAACACCCAGAAAGUAGUGAAGAUUUCCCAAAUCCUUAAUAGAGAAUUGAGAAAAAAGUGAAGCAAUAACCUGAUCGACACUGAAAAUGUUGCUGCCAGUGAAAAUAAUAUCAUCGACAUAGAAAAGGACAAACACUGUAUCACCUAGACCUUGUCUGACGAGUAGCGAAACAUCUGAUUUCAUCUUAACAAAAUCAUAUCGGCUUGUUUCAAUCCAUAGAUUGCCUUGCGCAGUCGACAUAUAUGAGUUGGUUUGUCAUCAUUAAGGAAUCCUAGAGGUUGUUCCAUGUACACCUCUUUUUCCAGGUCCCGUGGAAGAAAGCAUUGUUAACAUCAAGUUGAAGGAGAUGCAAAUUAUUUCAAAGUGCCACAGAGAGGAUAAUCCGGACUAUGGUAGGCUUGACAACUGGGAUGAAGGUCGCGUGGAAGUCAAUGCCCUGUCUCUAAGUGAAUCCUCUUGCAACUAGCCGUGCUUUAUAUCUAUCAACAGACCCACCUGCUUUCCUUUUUAUCCCGAAAAGCCACUUGCAAGAGACAAUAUUUUUGGUUAGGUCUGGAGGAAUAAGUUCCCAUGUCUGGUUUUUAAUUAAACCAUCAAGUUCAUGUUUCAUUGCAUCUCACCAGUGGGGAUGUUUUUGAGCUUGUUUGGCAGUAAUAGGUGUGAUGAUGGGGUUUGGUUUGGCCAGGCAAUCAACAAUUUGUUAGGGUUUAGUGAUGUUGUUUUGGGAUCGCGUGACAGCACAUGUAGGGGGAGACAGACAAUGAGGCAGGAAAAGAGCAAUAUCUGACUCAUAGAUAGGGCAUACUGGUCGAGGGUCCAUGGCUGUUGGUGGAAUGGUGUUUCUGCAUUGAUAAACAAGGAGGGGACGCGGGCUGCUAUCUGUGUUCAGUGGUAUGUGGGUUGGUGAACAUGGAGGGAGGUAUGGCGGUGUAGUGUUUUGGGCAGUACAGGGAGAAGACAGUUCCAGGAGAGUGGGAAUUGUAGAAGUUGAGGGAGAUAAAAAUUUAUCUGGAGACGUUGACAUUGCAGGAGGUGAAGUUGCUUCCACCGCUGAUUCACUUUUGGUGUAGGAUUGAGAUCUUGAGUUGUCCUAUAACUCUCUUGGGUAAGUAGAAGGUAUUGAUCGGUAGUCCACAGGUGUGUGCGUGUCUAUGUUUAAGGGAUGAGGAAGACCAAUAACGACAGAAAAUGUGGUGAGGUCUGAAGGAUUUAAAAUUGUGGUAUUUUCCUAUUCUAGAUGAGAUGAUUUUACGGCAAUAUUAGAGUAUAGAGUUUUAAAUGGAAAAAACACUCUCAAUAAAUCACACAUCUCGGGACAAAUAGACCUUACCAACAUUUGGGUCAAAGCACUGGUGACAAUGAUGAGAAAGGGAAAAUCACCUAAUUACAACUCCUUACGGAUUUUUGAUUGUUUAUGCUAUCCAUGGCUCAAAUCAUACUCCAAAAAUAAAUUAAUCGUUCUUGUUAGAGCUUAUAGAGCUCUAAUACCAUAUAAAAACUGAGUAAGUGCUGAAAGAAGAUACUUUAUUAAUGAACUCAAACGAGUAUUAAAUAGAAUUACAGAGAGAACUCCUAAACAAACACUAAUAACGUAAUAUAAAUAAAUAAUGACUGCUGCGUUAUCUUAACUAAAAUGAACUAACUAUAGCUUACAAGGCUUAGUCGUUCAGUACCAAUAUUAGCCUCCUAUUUUUUAUUCUGUUUAGCAAUUCAUUCCUUUAUUCAUAUUUUUCCGUGUCUUUAGCUUUGAUUCGUCUCCUUUGUUUAUCUCUUUGCGAUUCUUUUUGAAUGAGAUUUCUCUUCUUUUUUUAUUUUAAAACUGUGUGACCCACAAUGAGAAUGAUGUUUUCAUUUCCUUUAAAUUUGAACUUAAAAUAAUCGAUCAUUGUACAAUAGAUAUAGGAUCUUGAGGUGAAACUACAAUACAUUGCACAUCAACAGUUCCUAAUAGUGUAAAAUUGGAAUUAGGUCUUGGAUUUCAUCUGCAUAUUAUUGCUUAUUUGGUUCUUGUAGCUUCUACUUAUUUUUCUUUGCUUGUUAUUAUGUAUUUUCUCUUAUAUUGGUAUUUUGUUUUGGUUCUUCAAUUAUGAUAUGGUGCAUUAUUAUGUAGUUGGAUGCAUCAUUUGUAUAGUUGUUCAAUUAAGAGGUUUUUGACUAAGCCUAUCCAAGAAGAUUACUUCAAAUUUGCUUAUGUACCAUUCUCUGUUUUUCCAAAUUUGUGUUGUUAUUUGUCUUUUCCGUGCAAUCAAAGAUACUAGAUUAGUUAAAAGUUUUGGUUAUUAUGUUCUCUUCUCAUCAGGGGAUUUGUUCAUGAUAAGUAUUGAACUCCCUCUAUUUUUCACCCCUAACUUUUCAUCGCUUGCAUGAUCUGAUAAUUAAGUAAGCCAAUUUAGCUUUUUAAUAUUAAUUAGUCUCUUUCCCUAUACUCCUAAAUCAAAUAAAGUCUAUGUAUUUACUUCUCUUUCAUCUAGAGUUGUAUUUUUGAGAUGAAUAGCAUAUCAGAUGUCUUUAUAAUAUGAGUUGUUCUAAUAUAUCUGUUACUCAUCCUCAUGCAUAUCUCUUCCACCACUUUAAUUAUUAGCCAUGAGACCUUCCGAGUUUCACGAAGUCGAUUGGUCUUUCCCUUCCUUAUAUAGAAAUUCCUAGCCUCUAGUACCCUCAAAUUUAAAGUGGAAAUUCUUCUUUGUGUCUUGAAUUUGAAAGCUUUGAUUUUAAUACCUUGUUGAGUUUUUUCGCUUUUUUUUCUCUCGUUUAUGCCUAUAAUGUCUCUCAUCAUUAUACGUCCAUAUCCAGGUUGAUUGUGUUUCGUUCAGUUAGCUCAAAAUUCAGAUAUAACAAUCUUGAUUUUUCAAAUGUUUCACCUGUAUUCUUGACUGCCAACAUGUAUAUAUUUUCUCACUUUUCUUGCUAUUUUGAGAUAAUUUUUUGUUGCAAUUCUAUUAUUCUACUUCUUAUGAUUAAUGUGUUUAUUGUUCCCUUUGAAUUAUCGACCACAUUUCAAAAAUUGUUCUUUAAUAUUCUUUAGAGUUAUAUUUGUUCAAAGUAUUUGGAUGUGGAGAGUUUCAUCUGGAGGUUUCCUUUGAGAUUUUCUAUUUUGAAGUCGAUCUAGACUCCUAAUAUUUUUCUUGGUAUUGAUUAGCUGUUAAUUCCUCUAUUUGCAUUUUUUCAUGCCUUUAGUUAUGAUUCGUCCUCCAUGUUGUCUUCGUGACGCUUGAUUAGUGAUUUUUUGUCAUCUUUUCUUAAACUAUGUGGCCUACAAUUAAAAUAAUGAUUUACUUUUUUAAAAAAUUCUUCACUUGAAAACAUAGAUUUUUGUACAAUAAAAGUAGCAUCCUAAGGUAAAAAUGCCACAUAUUGCACAUCAACCAAUCCUAAAAGUAUAAAAUUAAAAUUGGUCUUGGAUUUGAGCUGCAUAUUGUGUUGCUUAUUAGAUUCCUGUAGUGGCUCGUGUAUGUCUAUCGUAUAUGGAUUUGCAUUUUGAUUCUUGAGUUCUUGUAUGUUUGUAGUUUAGUGCAUCAUUUGUAUGAUUCAUAUAUAUUGAAGUACUUCAAUUAAUAGGUUUUUGACUAAGACAAUUCAAGAAACAUUACACCAAAUUUGUUUAUGUAGUAUUUUAUAUAUAUCCAAAUUCGUGUUGUUAUUUUUUUUCCUCCAUGAUUGUCUACUUAAAAUCAAAGAAACUAGGUUAGUUACAAGUUUUGUUUAUCAUGUUUUUCUUGCAUCAUGGGAUUUUAUCAUUAUAAGUAGUAAAUACUGUCCAUUUUUCAUCUCAACUUCUCAUCUCUUGUAUAACCUGAUUCUUAAGUAAGGAAAAUUUAGCUUAUCAUUAUUAAUUAUUCUCCUUCUAUACUCUUAGAUCAAAGAAAAACUAUAUUUUCUCCUCCUUCAUCAAGUAUUGUAUUCGGAGAUGAUUAGCCUAUCAAUUGCCUUCCUUUAUAUUAUGAGUUAUUCUGAUAUUUUUGUCAUACAUCCUCGUUAAUAUCUCAUCUACUACGUCAAAUAUCGGCCAGGAGACCUCCCAUUUCCCAAAUUUUCAUAAUAAAAUUUCUUAACAGUAAUGAGUCAAUCUCAAUUAUUACCAGUCGAUAUUAGUUCUCCUCUAUAUAUAUCAUUGCCUUAGUUUAGUCAUAAUUUUUGUAUGAGUGUUGUGCAUUGUAAUAUACUUAUUUCUCUCACCUUAUCAGCAAAUAUAUUACCAUUUAUAUUCCUCAUACGAAAUUCCAAUGAUCCCUGUCAGGAUUUUAUCUAGAUGUACCAUCUGUAUUACAUUUCACAUAUUCAUUAUCUACUGGCCUCCAACACAUUUGAAUCACCUUUGAUUUGGUUUAUAAGUGUGAAGAGAAUGCACUUAGGUAUUUUAUUUGUAGGAAGCAUGUUUAAGAUUUUCUAUUUUCUCCUUCAUAAGCAUGAUGACAAUAUGCAUGAUUUUGUAUAUUAAUUUUACUUUAGAGCAAAUGAUAUUAGCUAAUCAAGUUUUGUCAUGUCUAUCUUUGUUUCUGUGUGCUUACUUAGAUCUCUUCUUUGUUAUAUAAUCAUUCGGUGAUUGAAAUUUGUUGUCUUAGCUAAUUCAAUCUCUCUCAAUAAAUAGUCCAUUCUAUAAGAAUUGCAAAAUAAUUUGACAAGUAAUAUUGAUUUAAGUAUCCAUGAUAUAUGAUUCAAAUAAUGUCGAGCAUAAGAAAGAAAGAAAAAUAGCUUAGAUUUAUCCACACUAACUUUUUUCUUCCGCUGUGCCUUUUUUAUUUGAAAAACUAAUAUUUCGUUCUAGUCGCAAGUCUUAUAUCUCCACCUGUCUCCAGAUAUGUAGGCUUCCCGAUUGUUCGAUUGUGUACCAUGUUAAUUAAUAAUUUAGGAAUACAAAAUUUAUUUUGAAGCUAUAAAAAUUAUCAAAAUAUACCAUAAGAAAAACUAGACAUAAAAUUAAUCUAGCUGACAAACAAUCAUUUCCAUCAAAAUGAUUAUAUUGUUAUCAACUUUAAAUGAAUCUAAAUUAAUAGCACAAAAAAAGAAUAAUGAAGACAAUAGUUUAUAUGAAGAUAACACAAAAAAGAAAAAAAAGUAAAUAUUUUUAUGGAGAUUGAUGGGUUAUUCACUAAAAGAUAUAAGAUUGAUGAUUCUAAUUUCAUAAUCUUUGAGUUCACCCUCGAUUUCUUUUGCAAAAUGACUUAUGAUAAGUAUAAGAAGAAAAUAUUUUUUAUAUGGCGAUUGAUAUAUACAUUGGGACUCAAUUAGACUCGGAUACCGAAAAGUCUCAAACUGAGGGUGAACCUCUUUCUAACCAAUGUAAGUCAUGGCCAAGACUUGAACUUGACACUUCUGGUUAAGGAUCAAAGAAUAGUAAUUCUAGUCAACAACAAUCUUUGUUGGUAGAACACAAUAAAUAAAUCCAACAUAUUACCAAAUAUUCAAGAGAAAGUAAAUGAAAACAUUAUUAGUAUCAACAAAAUAUAUGGUGGGAUGUAAAUGAUCCAUCCAUCCUUAACCAGAAUUCUCAAUUUGAGCCUUGGAUAUGAAGAAAAUCUUGUUAUAAAGUAUCCCUUGAAAUUCAUAUUAACCGGGGAUUUAAUAUGAUAUAUUGUAAUCGAGUGAAACUAAUAUUAAUUACAGUUUACAAUUUAUUUCAACUUCUAUUGUAACUCUUUCUAUCUGAAACAAUGGUAAUUUCUAUAAUAAUAAGUUGUCACGUUUAAUAUUUCACUGAGAUGCGUUGUUUUUUUACCUUUCAAUGUGUGUUUAAAAGAAGUUUUAAAAGAAAAUAUGAAUAUGUCAUCAAAAUAUAUGGAAUUCACAUCUUUCUGUUUAUUUCUAUUGAAAUUUCAUUCCCCAAUUUUGAUUCAAUGCCAUUCUAUUUAGUAAUUUAAAAACACAAUAUUUUCAUUUGAAUAUAGAAAAUCAUCAUCAUACACCACAAUGAAAAUCGAGAAUAAAAAUAAUCUAAUUGACGAACAAUAAUCUCCGUAAAAAAUUGUUAUAAAUUAAUAGCAAAAAAUAAAGAAAUAUUCUCUACACACUUUACAUGUAGAGAACCCAAAACAAAAAAAAAUGUAAAAGAUUACAUCAAGGAGUUGUGGAGUUAUUCCCUAAGGGAUCAUUUAGUUGAGAACAAGUUAUCACAUGAUUAAUUAUCAUGGGAUUAAUUAUCCAGGAUAGCUUAUCCCACCAUAUAUAUGAGAUAACUUAUCCCAUCCGUUAGAAUCUUUGCGUCCACUAUCAGUCAAUGGACCAGGUCCCUUGACACACAAAUAAGGAUAUAGAAGAAACUAAAAGCAGUUUAACAACAGAGGAGUUUUAUGUGGAAACCUCCUUUGUCAAGGGAGUAAAACCACGACCUGUCUCACAUGAUUUUUAUUUCCGUUUCACUAAUAUUCACAAGACAAAGAAAAUCGGUUACACAAAUGCGAGAAAAAGUUUUUAAUCUCACCAACAAGCAAUAACUCUUUUGCUUGAUGAGCCUAAGUAGAUGUUACACUACCCACUAAGCUAUCACUCUAGACAACUUAAAAUUUUCUAAGCAACACAAAGGUUACCCACUAAAGUAGAAGAUUCAGGUUAAGGGCCUCCAACACCUGUAAGUAGAAGCUUCUUUCUCUUUUUGGCAAAGCAAAGGGAGAUAUGGAUCCUGCUAUCAGUGAAACACUUUGUCAAAUUGAUCAAACAAUUCUAAAUGCUGAAAAUGAAAGGUGCAAAUGUCAGCAAACGUUUCAUGCUCUUUUAGAGCAUGUGCCUGCUUUUUCUCCGGACCUAGUGGAACACCAUAUUCAACAGCUCCUUAACCAAAUUCAAACCCUGGAAAAAGAGAAAAGGAGAUUUUCCCGAGAUAGGGAAGACCUUAUUGUUAGGAUGAACUUCCGCAUCUACGCCGGAAACAACUAAGUGUUAGCCGACUCUUUGGAGUUUAAGAAGGUUUAAAUACGUGUCUAUAGAUGCAAAGUAGUUUGUUCUUCUUUUUCUUUGUUUAGUGGAGUUCUACUCCUAUGAUAAGUGUAUGUGUUGUGUUUGCAUGUAUAAGUGGUAGACUUCAAUGCUUCAGUUGCUCACUUUUUUAUGUUGUAUUUAGUUGAGUGGAUGGUGUAUGUGUCGGUAAAUUAUUAUUUGAUGUAUUUCCAUGUAACUGCUAUUAAUGAAAAAAAUCUGCUUUUUUCUAGUUCAUUCUCUUUUCCUGUUUUGUGCAGAAAAAUUAUUUUGAAUUCUUUUUUAAGACUGGUCUUUCUCUAGUAAAUUUCUCAUAUAUACAAGCUCAAACUACAUCCAAGAGGGUGGAAGUUCUGUGUAUAUAGUCACUCUCCUAUAUCCUAUAAUAGCAUAAGCAUAGAAGAAAGCUUCGCCUUUUCUGUCAUAUCUUCAAACCUCCACCGAAGGAGUUGAACGUAGUGAAAAGAGUCAUUUCGUUGACAAAAGAGACUAUAAAGCUAGUAUAUUUAUCGCACACCUGAUCUUCUUUCUCAUAAGGAAUGAUCACCUUCUAAUCAAAAUAGGAGUGAGAUUUCCCCAAAGAACGGAAUAAAUGAGUGAACAAGCAUCGAAAGGAGUGUGUUAGUGAAACAAGUAGCUCAGUCCUAGUGGAGAGGACAAAACUUCUAGAUGACUCAUCGGGAUAGACCUUUAGUUUUAUUUCUUGUGACUAGACAUGAAUACUAUCCAUUUUCUCAUCGCAUCAAAAGGUCUAUUAGAGAGAUGGCUCCAACCCUAUAUAAUCGAGUGGUGCUGGAAUGACCAAUCCAAUUCCCUCAGGCUGGCUUUAUCGAAGGGAAGCCUUGUCCUGUCCGCUAGGAUUGAGCUAUUUGUUUCACUAACAUACACCUUUCAGUGCUUGGUCAUUCAUUUAUUCUGUUCUUUUUUUUUGGGGGGGGGGGGGGAGUUCUCACUCCUAUUUUGUUUAGAAGGUGAUAAUUACUAUAAGAAAGAAUAUCAAGUGUUUGAUAACUAUACUAAAUUUAUGCCGUCUUUCAUAAAAGAAACGACUCUUUUCACUAUGCUUAACUCCUUCAGUGUCGAUUUUAAAGAUAUGAUAGCAAUGCAUGAAAGCUUUCUUCUAUGCUUAUGUUAUUAUAAGAUAUAGGAAAGAGCCUAUAAACACACAACUUCCACCCUCUUGGAUGAAGUUUGAGAUUGUAUAUGUGAUAAAUUUACAAGAAAAAAAAAGAGAUUUCAAAAAAGAAUUCAAAUAAUUAAUUUUUCUGCACAAAACAAGGAAAUAGAAUAAAGUAGAAAAAAAUGGAUUUUGUAAAUUAAUAUCAAUUACAUGGAAAUACAUCAAAUAAGAAGCUUACACACAUGUACACCAGCAACACCACUAAACACAAUAUUACAAAGUGAGCAACAAAAGCAAUGAAGAGUACGAGUGAUACAUGCAAACACAACACAAACACUCAGCAUAGGAGUAGAUCUCCGCUAAACAAAGAGAAAGAAUAAACACAGUACUUUGCUUCUAUACACACUUAUUUAACCUUCAUAAACUCCAAAGAAUCGAUGGACUCUUAGUUGUUUCCGACACAUUGCGGAAGGCCAUCCUAGCAAUAAUGUCUUCCCAGUCUCGGGAAAAGGGUCCUCCCCUCUCCUUCCAGGGUUUAAAUUUGGUCAAGAAUCUUUUGAAUGCGUUGUUCCAUCAGCUCCGAAAAAGCAGUAGACACAGUCUCUAUAAAAUCAUAAAGUUUUUGUUGACGUUCACGCCUUUCAUUUUGAACAUUUAGCAUUCUUUGAUAAUAUGAGAGUCUUUCAGUGGUAGCUGGAUCCACAUCUCCCUUUGUUUUACCAAAUAGAGAAAGAAGCUUCUAUUUAUAGGCGUUAGAGACCCUUAAACCUUUCUUGUUAUUAUUAAGAUAGGUUGUCUUUGUUCUAUAACAUGGUCAACCCUUGGUUUUCAUGAAUAUGGAACCCCAUCCACUAGAUUUAAGUGCACUGAAAAAUUGUCCUUUCCUUGUACGCAAGGCCCUCUUUAUUUUGCAUCACUCCUUAAUGAAUAUGACACAAUUAUAUAAAGCACAUCAGAGAAGAGAGUACCCCCUUUAUUAUAAGAAAACCCCCUCCCCCCCUCCGCAUCCUUUCUUAAGAGAUGGAGAAAUCGUCAACCAUGUGAUCUGUCCUCGUUUACAUGCCCACUGUCACUAGCCUAAUGCCCAACCUACUCGUCUUAAACUAGAUUUUUAGUACCCAGCUACAUGAACUAAGUCCCCUCAGCCAAUCGUCACUUGACAACUCAAAGAUGACCAGUACAUCCCACAUGCUUUCCUACCCGUCUUUCACCGACCUAGUUGUACCCAACUACAAUCUCUUCCCUUAAAAAAUAAAAACAAAAGGUCCCUCUACCAAUCCUCAAUCAGCAACAACUUUGUCCUAGCGAAUAAAUUCCCUGCCCCUAUCGCUUGAUUGAUCUGAUCAUACACUUGCUCUACCCUACUUUUGACAAAAGAAUAAGAGCCUAAGUUCUCCCUAGUAGUAUACUACAAUAUCUCUAUAACUUUUAGAAAAUGAGUUUGAUAAAGAAAUUCUCUAGAAUCUUUAAAAUGAACAUAGUGUAUCAUCCAUCCUUUAGAGAGAAGUAAGAAUCCUUAAAAAAUUAAAAUUAUAUUUAAUCUAUCAUUUAGAGAGAGUUUUGUAUAUGUAGUAGUAUACAUUCUUUUACGGCCUUACCUACUCGUCUUAAAUUGUUUUUUUUGUACGCAGCUAUAUGAUCUAAGUCCCCUCAACCAAUCGUCACUCGACUACUCAAAGAUGACCAAUACAACCCACAUGAUUUCCCACCCCUUUUUCACCGACCUAUUUGUACCCAACUACAAUCUCUUCCCUUAUAAAAGAAAAAGGGCCCUCUACCAAUCCUCAAACGACAACAACUUUGUCCUAGCGAAUAAAUUCUCUGCCCCUAUCGCUUGAUUGAUCUGAUUAGACACUUGAUCUUCCCUAGUUUUGUCAAAAGAAUAAGAGCCUAAGUUCUCACUAGUAGUAUACUACAAUAUCUUAUAUCUUUUAGAAAAUGAGUUUGAUAAGAAAUUCUGUAGAAACUUUAAAAUGAACAUAGUGUAUCAUCCAUCUUUUAGAGAGAAGUAAGAAUCCUUAAAAAAUGAAAAUUAUAUUUAAUCUAUUAUUUAGAGAGAGCAUUUUGUAUAUGUAGUAGUGUAUAUUGUUUUACGGUUGGAGGGGUAGGUGGUUAAGGAAUCAUGUUAGAGUGCGGGAGAUCUAGCGGAUCUUGGUAUGAUGUUGUAGAAUAUUUAGAUAAUAGUAUUAUUUAUCAUAGUAUAUGAUACAUACAAUAUAGAAUGAAUACCUAGAACAAUAUAUUAUCAUAUACUGUAAAUUACCUAAUAACUCAUAUCAUGUGAUACUCAAAAUAUAAAAUUAAUACCUAACAAUAAAUAUUAUCAUAUACUUGAUCUAAGGUUCAUAAUCAGUCUUAGUGGUAGCAGCUGCCAAGCAGAGUAUGUUAACCAUAUCUCUUUAAUGCCUUUAUCACUUGUUCUGCUACUUUUAUCUUUCUUAGCCAGGAAGUUUUUUUAACCAUUCCUUCUCAUCCUUUGUCUCACUUUUGGUAGGUAAAUCUAUCAAAUUUACUCUCUUUCUUCUCGUUCGUAUCGUAUACUUUUUCUUGUUCAAAGCGUAUCCGCACUGAAGAAGUGGAAUAUAAAUACCCAAUAUCAGAUGAGCCAUACUAUGAAAAGAGUUUAAACCUAAAAAAUCAUAUUUAUCAAAAACUUUAAAAUACCUAAUAACAAAUUAUGAUUGCCUGCAAGAAAAGAGAAUGUAUUAUAGUAAUAAUAUGAUAUAUACUAUAAUACAUAAUUUCAUUUAUCAUUUUAUGUGUUAAUACAGAUCAUACCAUAUAUCAUACACCUAGUUAAAUUAAAAUGAUAAAUUCAAAGUAUAUGAUCUAUACACACAUUAUAAUAAUUUUAUUGUGUAGGGUGAUUAGUUAAACACCCUUCUCAAAGGAACUGCAGGUGACACUCUCGUGUCACACGACUUAGUCCCGAAAUCAAGACCUUAACCUUUCCUUUGACCAUUGAGUCCUCGAACCAUAAUAUUUCCUAGGAUGUUAUGGGCGCCCCUGCCAUUCCUUUUGAAGUUGCACCUCCGUACCUCCAGAACCACGUAAGUUUUAGAAAUCCGUUUUGACUUCCCGAAAGUAGGGUCUAUGGUGUCUUUCUGUUUUAAUACUUUGGAGGAUUUCCUCCAUCCUCACCCCUCCCCGCCCGCGUGUCUCUCCUCCAGAAUUUCUGUGAGACGCUUGACUUGAAAAUCCCCCUGGAACGUGUGUAUGAAAUUCCCCGUGAAUCUCUUGAAUCACCGCGACAACCUCCUUGUAAUUUUGAAGAAGCCACUCCCAAUUUUUUCAGAGACAUAUGUGCAUCUGUAUGCUCUUGUAUAGAAGGCUCGUGAAUGGGGGGUUGUUGUGGCUGGGGAGGUGCUGCUUACCGAAUGUAUCAUAUGAUAGAGGAUUUAUGAGCCUUAAGGAAGAUACCCAACCACUCUUUGAUGACUUUAAAGAAGAGGUUGGAGGUGAGAUCCUUAACUUCAAAUGGUAUUUAUCCAACGUCGUGAAAAUGUCACCUCUCAAGAGUAGAAGGAACUGGAAUAAGCAAUCUUAUAUAAGUUCAUUUCUGAUUCACUUCCUCCCAUUUGUUCCGAGUCGCCAAGGGGUAGAAGCCUUUUUUUCUGAUUUCUUUGCAAGCAUUACAUAAGAUUAGAUAGCUAAUUCAAUUCAUCCUACCAGGGUCACAUCACUUCCUUCCAGCGGGUGAGACAAGAGUUCAUGUGCCAAGCCUAAGAAGCUUAGACUUCUACCUCCCUGCGACAAUCAUUAUUCCCCUAAUCACUGAUUCUCUAGCACCGUUGUCUUCCUAGGCUAAAAGUCCUUACUCCUCCUACACUUAAAUCGAUGGAACUUUCGAUCUAUACAAAAAGAAUUGACUUACCUUCUAGCAUUCAUUAGAACUUCUCUUCUUUACAGAGAUUUUCCCUUCUAGUAGCAAUUCUGAAGUGGAUAUAGGGGAGAUAUCAAUCUCGUUGUGGGCCACAAUUAAAAACAAAAAAAUAAAAAGAAGAAGAAUCUCACUUACCAUGUGACAACUAGGUUUGGGGGUCAUUUUAGAAUACCUAAAUUUUCUACUCUAUUACUAUUAUUAUUUUACUUUCCACAUUUCUUUGUUAUUGUUAGGUUUUAGGUUGACUUGUCUUUGUGGAAUAUACCGGUUCCAUCACUUCAAUUUUUAAAAUUUUAACAUUUAUGUUCUCUACAAAAAAAAAAGAAGGUAUCCUUAUGUAUGUUAUUUUUGUCUAUUAAUUUAGAUUCAUUUAUUGUUAAUAAUGAUAAAUAUAUUUUUGAAGGAAUGAUUGUUUGCAAUUUAGAUUAACUUUUUUACCAUCUUUCUUUGUGCUAUAUGAUCAUGAUUUUUGUAGAUCCAAAUAAAGUCUUUUGUUCUUAUUUUUUAACCUAUAAAUGCUAUAGUAUUGAAUCAAAAUUAGGAUAAGAGAUAGAACCAAAAUAUUCACUACAAAGAAGCAAAUUCUAUUUAUUUUGAUGACAUAUAUUGUAAUAAAAGAAAACCAUAUCUCAUGAAAUAUGAAACAUCAUAACUCAUUGUUAUAGAAAUUAUGGUACUUCGUAAUAAAGGAGAUCCAAUGAAAUUCAGAAUAAAUUGAAUAUUGAAAUUAUUUUUUUGUUCGUUUUUCAUUAUAUCAUAUUUAAUCUCCGACUAAUCCUAAUUUAGAGGAACACACUCUAACAAUAUUUUUCAUAUCCAAGGCUCAAACUCGAGACCUCUGAUUAAGGAUUGAUGAAUCAUAUAUGUCCCUCCACAAUUGUCGUUGGCACUAAUAAUUAACACUCUCUUGUAUAUCCUACAAUAUGAUUGAAUAAGUUUUUUUGAGUUCUACCAACAACAUUGCACUGGAGAAAGAAAUUAAUAUAACUUCAUCCUUGACCAGAAGUGUCAAGGUAUGAGUUAUCUAUGUUAGAAGAGAUUUGCCCUCAAUUUGGAACUUUCCAUUAUCCGAAUUUCAUUGUGUCACAAUAAGAAUAUUAGAAACCAAGUAAAAAAAAUAUUUCCUUCUUGUACUUAUGAAAAUCAUAUAUUAGAAAAAAAUUAUAUUGAGGGUAAGAUUAAAGAUUAUGAGAUUAGUCUCAUCAAAUCUCCAUCAUUUUGUUAAUAACCAAAAAUUUUCUUAAUGAAAAUUUUAAAUUUUAUUUGUUUAUUGUUCUCUACACAUAAAGUAUUGAUUUUAUAUUUAUUUUAUUUCUUUUUUGUGCUAUUAAUUUAUAUUUAUUUAGUAUUUUAUUACAAUAAUGUUUUAUCUGAAGGUGAUGAUUAAUUGUCAAUUAAAUACUUUUAUGCCUAAUAUUCGUUGUGGUGUAUGAUGAUGAUUUUAUAAUUUCAAAUAAAAUUUUUGUAUUAUUGAAUUAUUAAAUGGCAUGGUAUUGAAUAAAAUCAGGAGUAAAUUACACUUAAAAUUUACUAGUAAGAUGAGAAUUUUAUAUAUCCUCAUGCUAUAUUUUUAUAUUCUUAUAAAGUUUCUUUUAAAACAUAUUGAAAGGCAAAAUAUAACACAUCUCAAUGAAAUAUUAAAUAUGAUAACUUAUUAUAAUUAUUAUAAAAAUUAUCAUUCUUCAAGAUGAAUGAGGUCUAAUGGAACUUCGAAUAAAUUAUAAAUUGUACUUAAUAUCAUUUUCACUUUAUUUCAAUAUAUUAUAUUGAAUUCCCAGUUAAUUUGGAUCCUGAGUAACAAUCUCUAAAAAAAUUUACUUCAUAUAUAAGGCUCAAACACGAGACCGCUGGUUAAGGAUGGAUAGACCAUAUACAUCCCACCAUAAUUCUUGUUGGUACGUACAAUGACUUAAUUUACUUUCUCUAUAAUAUUUGACAAUAUGUUGGAUUUAUUUAUUUUGUUUUACCAAAAAGGAUUAUGGUUGAGUAGAAGUUAGUAUUUCUUUAUUCGUGACCAGAAGUGUCGGACUUGAGUUUGGAGCAUAGGUUUUGUUCGAGAGGUUUACCCUCAACUUGGGACUUUUGACUAUCCGAAUUUAAUUGGAUCCUAAUAAAAGUAUCCGACAUCAAUAAAAAGUAUUUUCUUCUUGUACUUAUGAGAAUAAGUUAUUUUGAAGGAGAAAAAGUUGAGAGUAAUCUCAAGAAUUGUGGUAUUAGAUUCAUCAAUCCUAUAUCUUUCAUGAAUAAUCACUCAAUCUCAUAAAUAAAAUAUUUACUUUUUUUUUGUUUUUUACUCUCUGAAAAUAAAUUAUCGUCUUCAUAUUUUUUAAUUAAUGUUCUAUUAAUUCAAAUUCAUUUAAUGUUGAUGAUAAUUUUGUUAUGAUAAUGAUUAAUUGUCAGUUAGGUUAAUAUUAUGCCUAGUUUUGCUUAUGUUAUAUGAUGAUGAUGAUUUUAUAGCUUCAAAUAAAAUCUCAUGAUCUUAUCUUUGAGAGGCUAGCAAAAAGGACAAAUAUAUUCGAACUUCAUAAAUGACAUGUGAAUAUCCUCUGUUAUAUUUUAAGGUUGUAUAUAUCCUUACCAUCAUUCUUGUGCAUAUCCUUGAAGCUAACAGAUGGACAUGUGGCUUCAUCUAAAUUAUUUGCCCAAUUUUAUUUCUUUAUUCUUUACCCAAAAAUUAAAAAAUCCAUCCACCCAAAACCAAAAUGGAUGAUGUUAAAAUCCACUCUUCAUUUUAUUCAAAAAACCAUCCCUUUAUUGUUCUGAACCCACAUAACCAUGGAAUGAAGAACUCAUCAUUCAAGAAAGAAGAAGACUUGUUCACUAAAACUACACUCUUGCUGACAAAAAAAAAUCAACUUCAUUUAGUGUAGGAAUCUAGGUUAUUGGAAAAUCCCUUUCAACAAUAACAAAUCGAUUUGAGCGUGUAAUUUUCUAUGAUUGUCAACCCACUUUAAAAGGUUGAAGCUUUGUCUAUCAAUAGCAAUAAUAUUUUCUCAACCCCUUUCAUUAACAAUAAAUCAAUUUGAAUUUGAAAUUUUCAAUUCAAUUGUAGACCCAUUUUAAGCGUGGCGUUUUAUCCAUCAAUGGCGAUAUUGUUUCCAACCCCUUUCAGCAAUAAUAAAUUUACUUGAACUAAAAAGGGAAUUUUAAUUGAUUUCUUGAUUUCCAUUGAGAUGAUAUGCUUUUUGAUUUUUGUUUGAGAGAUUUGGAGAAUAGUGCUAAUGAAAAUAAAUUGAAUAAAUUUUUUCCUUUAGUUUAAUUUUUAAUUGAGAUGAAAGGCGUCUUUUAUAUUUUCUAUUUUUAAUGUCAUGGUACUUUAAUUUUUCUCAUAAAUAAAUGAUAAAUAUACAUCGAACUUCAUUAUACUUUUGGGUAUAUUUUUCAUUUUCCCUAAAAUAUAUCACCCUACCCUAAUUUCAUUUAUCUGACGCCCCACUACCUCCAUCUAGCCGGCGCGGUCAGUGAGCCAUCGCAUCUCUAUCACUUCUCUCCGGUAGAAGAUCCAAGCAUAGAACUUCAUUAGAAGACAAAACCUAAAAUGAGAAAUCCAGAACGACUAACCGGUGAUUUCAUUCCUAAUACACUGAUUACUUUUGUGAAUUUUUAUUAUUUUCAUUUUAAAUCUUUAUUAGAGGUUGUAAUCCAUGUCUAUCAUUAUUGUUUGAGCCACAUUUGAAUAGGCUGUGUAUAAUCUAUUAAUACUUUAUGAUUAACAAGUUGCUAAAGCUGAUUUUAAUUUUUACUGUUGAUGCAUCAAGGUUGUUUCAAAUUGACAUGUACUCACACUUUAAUCAUGUUCCAUAAAAUAUUGUUCAACUUGUUUUGGUUGUAAUAAGAAUUAAUAAUCAUGUUUACUCCGUAAUGUGAUUUGCUUAUCUACUUUCAUCAUAUCUACAAUUUCUCUCUUAAUAAUUUAUGAUUAACAAGUUGCUACAGCUAAUUUUAAUUUUUACUGUUGAUACAUCGUAGUUGUUUCAAAUCGAGAUGUACUCACACUUUAAUCAUGUUUACUCCGUUAUGUGAUUUGGUUGUUAACUUUCAUCAUAUCUACAAUUUCUCAAUAAUUAACUUGAUCAUUGAGAAUUCCUCUCCCUUGAAAUUUGAUUCGCAAGAGUCAUAUGUCUAAAUUGGGCAAUUAGAGAUCUUUCUACUUGUCUAAUUGUUAUUGCUUAUUUGAAUUAUGGUAUUUUCAUCUUCCUUAGCCGGUCAAGAUGUGGUUAGUAGCAUACUUUAUUUGACGAAAGGAUUAUGGAAAUUGCAUAUAUCUUUAUGUUUCUCUUUUUAUGCUUUUUACGAAUAUGCUGCUAAUCUAGAGGAACGUUUUCAUUCCAUUGGCUGAUCAGCCUUCCUUACUAUAUAAUACGAAUUUUUUUCUCAUGCUCCUGAUUCUCCAUUACAAUAUAACUAUAACCUCUUCAUCGGAGUUCAUUUCUUUUAUUGGAUACACUGAUAAACCGAAUCAGCUUUUCUCUGUUCUCUUGUUCUUUGUUGAUGGUUGUGUACCAAUAUUGUCUACUGAUGCUCGGAUCUUGUUGUGUUUUCUGGAUUGUUACUUCCUAACAGGUUAGUUUCUAUCCAAGUACUCUUCAUGCUUAAUGUGGUAAUUGUAUUUUUCAUUCUCUUGUCGCAUCAAAUGUGUGUUUUGGAAACUCAAAUGUGUAAGCAUUCCGGGAGAAGCAAACAGGUAUGUCCUUUUAUAUUUAAUGUACUUUGAUAAGUUUUCAGAAACUUUGUGCAUUAGAAUACAUGUUCAUAGGAUUUACUCAUAAUUUAACUUCAAAGCUUGUUGCUCUUUUUCUUGUUUGUUUGAAAUCAUGAUUUUCAUCAUAUACCUUUGGGGUUCACUUCUCAGUUUACUUACCAAAUAAUUGUUAAAUGAGGUAGCUAGGAGUAUUUCUUACUUUUCCAGAAAAUAUGUUAUGCUCUAUUUUCCAAGAUUGGUGUGAAAUCUGUACUUCACAUUUUGUAGUUCUUAACAAGGCCAUUAUUGAAGUGGGCUUAUUAGUGAUUCCCUCUCUAUGCUAUUGUGUGUGCUUGUAGGUGUACAAUUCUUUUGUGUGAACAGGGCAUUAGUUCGAUAUCGGGGGCAUUGAAGAGUUGUCUGGGACAUGGGAGUUUUCAAGGAUCGUCUAGUCAAGCCUACUCGUCUCGAAUUCAUUGUCUUUUCUAUUUCACUUUUGGGUUUGUAAUAACUUAUGAACUACAUUUCUUGUAAUAUUAAGAAUAAGUGCUUCUCUUAUUUGGGUUGGGGAAACAUUAUGUGCUA
rnacentral:lncRNA from 1 species